UAGCUCGGCUGGGGAUUUGAACCCAGGACUCUUGUAUGCUAGACGAGCCCUUUUACCGGCUGAGCUGAGAU
rnacentral:tRNA from 1 species